rnacentral:rRNA from 1 species
GAUGAACGCUGGCGGCGUGCUUAACACAUGCAAGUCGAACGAUGAAGCCCAGCUUGCUGGGUGGAUUAGUGGCGAACGGGUGAGUAACACGUGAGUAACCUGCCCUUAACUCUGGGAUAAGCCUGGGAAACUGGGUCUAAUACCGGAUAGGAGCGUCCACCGCAUGGUGGGUGUUGGAAAGAUUUAUCGGUUUUGGAUGGACUCGCGGCCUAUCAGCUUGUUGGUGAGGUAAUGGCUCACCAAGGCGACGACGGGUAGCCGGCCUGAGAGGGGGACCGGCCACACUGGGCCUGAGACACGGCCCAGACUCCUACGUGAGGCAGCAGUGGGGAAUAUUGCACAAUGGGCGCAAGCCUGAUGCAGCGACGCCGCGUGAGGGAUGACGGCCUUCGGGUUGUAAACCUCUUUCAGUAGGGAAGAAGCGAAAGUGACGGUACCUGCAGAAGAAGCACCGGCUAACUACGUG